rnacentral:rRNA from 1 species
AUUGAACGCUGGCGGAAUGCUUUACACAUGCAAGUCGAGCGGCAGCACGGGGGCAACCCUGGUGGCGAGCGGCGAACGGGUGAGUAAUACAUCGGAACAUGCCCAGUCGUGGGGGAUAACACUUCGAAAGAAGUGCUAAUACCGCAUACGUCCUGAGGGAGAAAGCGGGGGAUCUUCGGACCUCGCGCGAUUGGAUUGGCCGAGGUCAGAUUAGCUAGUUGGUGGGGUAAAGGCCUACCAAGGCAACGAUCUGUAGCUGGUCUGAGAGGAUGAUCAGCCACACUGGGACUGAGACACGGCCCAGACUCCUACGGGAGGCAGCAGUGGGGAAUUUUGGACAAUGGGGGCAACCCUGAUCCAGCCAUUCCGCGUGAGUGAAGAAGGCCUUCGGGUUGUAAAGCCCUGUCGGAGGGGAAGAAGGACUCUCGUGCAAAUAGUUCGAGGGUUUGACGGUACCCUUAGAGGAAGCACCGGCUAACUCCGUGCCAGCAGCCGCAGUAACAC